GAUUGUCUUUUUCCUCACUAUCAGCCAGCAUUCUCCUUUUUCCCCCUUUCAGCUACGCGUGUAUAACCUAUGUUUUCUCCUUAACAUGUGUGCUCUGCUCUUGAAGCUUUCUUCUUUCAGAACUACCGAAGAUUUAGAGAAGUAUCAGAUGCAACCCUAGAAUUGAACCUGCAGAUUUUCAAAUCGACUAUCAGAUUUGUCGUUCAGAUGUAAUAGUGUCAUCCUUUGUUUUAAGAGAUGGAGAUCAGUCUUGAAGUUCUGGAGAUCGGAACUUGGUCUUCUGGAUAUUAGCAAAUUAUAUGUGAUAUAUCUUCAUUUUGCUUUGUAUUUAAUUUUAUAUACCACGAAGAAUUGUUCUUAGUUUAUGAUGUAUUGAUGAUUGUUUUAUGAUUCUUCGAGAAGAUUUAUGAAAUUCUUUUUUGGUCUAAA